UUAUAUAUAUCUAACAGAAACAUAAUCAAAGACUGUAACUCCUGAAGAAUCAGCACGGCUUCAUCUCUUGUGUCGUGAGAAUUGAGCUGGGGGUCUGUUUGACUGCGGUCACGGUUUGUUUUUCCGUUCAAGUGCGUGUCUGAGGUCCGAGACUGCCGCUGUUUGAUCUCUUCUCGAAAUAAGGGCGGCUAACAGAAAGAGUGGACUGCAUCUCAGGACUAGAAAAGGGACUCAACGAUGAGGCUCAGUCACUACAGUCUCAACACUUGAGCUCAUCAUCAAGCAAGACGAAAACAGCAUGACCAGCUCUGGAGUUGAAGCUGAGAUGGAGGAGCAAAAAUUCAGACUAGUGA